AUGUCGAUCGAACAGAAGAAACAAGGGUGAAAACCCUUGUUCAUGCUAAUCUACUCAAUUAAUCAAGAAAUUCAAGUCUAAAUCAGUUGCAUGUCUCAAGUUUAUCGAUUAUCUAUGCAUACAUAGUGAAGUGGUGUGAAAGAAGAAGGUUCGAAUUCCAAGAAAUCGGAAGGAUCACAAGACCGAGGUAAAUCCUCGACUUAGACGAUUGGACGGCUUGGAACGUGCACACUUGGUUUACGCCCGCCUCACGCUUCCGUUAUAAAUUACUUUUGAAAUGGGUCAAUUUUGUGGUUGUAUGUACUUUAAGUCCAUGUAGUAUGUUGUUGUCUUGUCGUAGGGUAAAAACUUAGUAGUUGUAGUCAUAUCGGGUCUAAUGUAAGCUUUGCCCGUUUAGGGAAUUGUCAAGAUGGUUAAACUUUGAAGUUUUGUUGUGUAAACAGGUGGUUAAUGGUUUUAAACAAAUAGGUCAUGCCGAAAUUUACAAAAAUU
rnacentral:lncRNA from 1 species